UACAGAGGGUGCAAGCGUUAAUCGGAGUUACUGGGCGUAAAGGGCGCGUAGGCGGAUAUUUAAGUUAGAUGUGAAAUCCCUGGGCUUAACCUAGGAAUUGCAUUUAAUACUGGAUAUCUAGAGUAUGGUAGAGGAAAGUGGAAUUCUCGGUGUAGUGGUAAAAUACGUAGAUAUCGAGAAGAACACCAGUGGCGAAGGCGGCUUUCUGGACCAAUACUGACGCUGAGGCGCGAAAGCGUGGGGAGCAAACAGG
rnacentral:rRNA from 1 species